UGAUGGAAUAUUAAAUGGGCUCAACCCAUAAAUUGUCGUGCAUUUAAUUUUUAAAGGGCUUGAAUUGGACUUUAAUUUAGGCCUUACGUAAACAAAGUCUUCUUGGAGACUGCACCGUCUCUACGAAAACUUGGCAAACCGUAAGUUCUGCUUCUGUUUAACUUACCGAUGAAAAAAAAUCUGGAAACGUUAUGUAGUAAGUCGGAAUCGAAGCGUCACCUUGAAAGGCUUCAUUAACAGUUUUUCUCCACUCCUCACACGAUCUAUCACUGAAUGCAUCUCCCUUUACUUGCUUUCACAGAAUCUUCAACUAUAAAAACGUUAGGUCACAAAUAAGAUAUGAAGAAAAAAUCCAGGAGGAUAAGGAGGAGUAAUCUGGGUUAAUAGCAACAGUGGUAAAGUGACUUUGAUGUGAAACCUGAGCCAAAUCUGAAGAAUCUCACCAGAUUCAAUCAGAGGAAGAGAUUACAAGUGGAAACAGCAAAGCUUGAUCUGAAAUUAAUAGAUGUCUUUAUAAUCUUUCUCCAGACGAUCUAGUCAAAUCCAGUCAAAAAUUUGGAAUUUUCAUUGAUGCUUUAAAGGGCUUGAAGCUAAGGAGAAGAUGAAGAGAUUGAGACAAUCCAUUAAAAAUUACAACAAAAUCACUGGAAAAUUUGCUAUGCUUGAUGAGAUCAUCAAUGAUGUUCAAUAUCUCCACAGACAAACGCCUUACUUGGUUGGGAGUACCAGUUGAUAAGAGUUCCUUCUAGAGGCUUUAGGAAACUACAAAUUUGUAUAUUUGACUGAAGACGUUGGGAAGGUUGUGUUUGUUGAUUCAAUGAGUGACUUAUGACCAGAUUUCAGAAAACUACACCAACGAGAUGUGACACAAGAACUCUUUGAAAGCAAGCUCAUUCCAUCUUUGAGCACAUGGAUACUCACCGGCCCUCCCCACAAGAAAUCUAACAAUCCAAAAAUCCCAAUGUUCCUCCAAUCUGUCAAACAAAACAAACUAUCCUUCCUACCUUUAAUCGAUACAUUCAUAUUAAUGAAACUUUAAGCUCUUCCUGGAUAUAAUAUCUAACGUGAGCCUUUCUCUUUGCUUCCUUUAUGAGCUUCAAGAUAUUGGAGAACUAUUUGAAACAGUGUAUUCUACGUGAGGAUGCAUGAGCUCAAACUUUAUGUACUCCCCUAGAGCAGCAUGUAACAUGAACUAAGAAAAUGUCUUUUUAUUUUUUGUCUGACAGAUUAAUAAUCUACUUGAUUAACUACAUUCACUAACUUUUUUUUUUGUGCACCAAAUUCUUCAUUCAUAGUUUAAGUGAUUACAAGAUUAAAAGCAUCAUCGUACAAGACACGAUGUGCAAGCCAACAGGCUAACUCCCAAGCAUAUAAACCAACAUAGAACAAGGAUAGAGACACAAACUUGUGAAAGUUUGAUAAGGCGUUAUGCAAGAUAUCAAAAUUGCCACUUGCGAUCCGAUCUAUAAGAGACUGAUACCGCACUUCAAACUCUGCUAAUAACGAACGAUUAGUCACAGUAACAUGUGACAUC